AGAAGAGGAAAGGCUGGGGGUUUCGGAUGGUUGUUUUUGAAGCCAUCAGUAUUCUUGAAGAAGCAGCAUAUCUUGAACUGUCCUAUGGGUGAAGGCUUUGAUGUGGUCCUGUAAAAACUGGAUUUGGAGGAUCAUCUGAAUACCCAUCCAACAGAGAUCCAUGAUUCAUGUAUUUCUCAAGACAGCCAUACACUAAAAUUAUAAGAUCAUAAGAAUAUUAAUUAUAUUCUACCAAUGCAAUACAAGCAUUGAAAUGGAUGGCAUCUGAUCCUGCUUCAUGUGAUUCUUCAUUUAGCUCUGGACUCUUUACAUCAUUAAGGUACCCUGAAUAUAUUCAGUAUGGCUUUUUCUUUGCAGGAAUUUAAAAGCAACCCUAUGAAUAUAACAUUUGUCAAAAAGAGCAAGUGCCAAGCCAGUUGAGAAUAACCUUACAAUGUGUACAAGGAUUCCAGCUUAUGCAACAUGAAAAUGGCAAGGAUGAAGACCUUUAUGAUGAUCCAUUUCCAUUUAAUGAAUAGAAGAAGUGUUAUCAAUUCUGUUGAUGGACCCCUUAAUCUCUUCUACUGAUUAUCUUCUACUUGAACCAGUGCCAAAUUAAUGUUGCAAGCUUUGUCUUGAAAUAUGUAAGACUUAUAACUUUGUUGUUAUUCCACUCGAUUGUGAUGAAUAUGGGUAUUCUGGGUUUCCAUUUAAACUUUACAUACGGUUUUUAAAUUUCUCCAAAAAA
ensembl:lncRNA LINC02064 long intergenic non-protein coding RNA 2064